GUGCUAGCUUCGGCUGCACAUAUACUAAAAUUGGAACGAUACAGAGAAGAUUAGAAUUUUCAUAUUCCUGCAUAAAUAUGACUUAAAACAGAUUUCCACACAAGUUUU
ensembl:snRNA U6 U6 spliceosomal RNA